CCCUCUGCUGACUCUUGUUGCAAUUCCCCAUCCACAGAUCCAGGUCACAGUCUAGGCGCAUGAUCUCAGGGUGAGGAAGAGCACUAGCAGAUACCAGAGCUUGCUGUCACAGGGGAGCAGAGGACCCUGAUCACACUUCCAAAGGAGAAAAGAGUACUUUGGGUUACUCACAGACAAGAGCACUGACUAGGAGUUAUUUUGUGAAGUGGAAAUUGAGGGAACCUUAAAAAUUUCAAAGAUCUAAGACCAUCAGCCAAGGACUCCUGCAUAGGGCAAUUUCCCAAACAAACUCAAAAGAAGGACUGAAAGCAGAUAGCCCUCCAGAGCUUGCUCUGAAAGCAGCCCCACAAAGACGCUGGAGCUUGGAACAGUGCUCUGUUCACCCACAGGAACAUAGCUCGAUUUUAAAUUAAAAGAAAAGAAAAAAUCUGGAAAAUGAGCAAACAACAGAAAAAGAAACUCAGCAUAGAAAGUUAUUGUGACAGAGAAGACAGAAGACAGAAAUUCAGAAGAAGACAACAAAGCUAAUACUGCUACAUCCAAAGCCUCCAAGAAAAAUAGGAAUUGCUUUCAAGCCCCAAAAGAAUUAAUGGACAUGCUCAAAAAGGAUUUUUUAAAUUAAAUAAGAGAGGUAGAAGAAAUGAGAGCGAUACCGGAAAAUCAUGAGAAAAGAGUCAACAGGUUGGUAAAGGAGGCACAAAAAAUACUAAAGAAAUUAAUAUCUUAAAAAACAGAAUAAGCCAAUUGGUAAAAAAUGGCACAAAAAUCCAGUGAAGAGAAGACUUCCCCCCAAAAAAGCAGAAUAGAACAAAUGGAAAAAGAUAUACAAAAAUGCACUGAAUAGAAGAACUUCUUGAAAAGUAGAAGAGGUACAAAAAAUCACUGAGGAAAAGAACUUUUUACAAGGAACAAUUAGCAAAAUGGAAAAGGAGGUACAAAAGUCACUUGAGGAAAUAAUGCCUUAAAAAUUAGAAUUGGGCAAGUAGAAGCUAAUAAUUCUAUAAGACAUCAGGAAACAAUUACAAAAGUCAAAAAAUGAAAAGAGAAAAGAAAAUGUGAAAUAUCUCAUUGGAAAAACAACUGACCUAGAAAAUAAAACUAGGAGAGAUAAGAAUUAUUGGACUACU
rnacentral:lncRNA from 1 species